ensembl:lncRNA LINC01785 long intergenic non-protein coding RNA 1785
GACCGCAGGGGCCCUGCCCUCCAGGCACCGGGACAGGCCGUCCUGGCUUGGCUGGGAACUGGGGUGUGUACCUGUGGGGAACAACUGGUCAAAAGCGGUUUUUUCAUUUCCCAAAGCCCAUAGAAGAAACAGUGAAGAGUAAGAGGAAAAGGCUGCCAGAAGGGGAGUCUCACAACAGGAAGAAGUAACAGCUACGCAUAGAGGAAGGGAAGCUGUUCAAGAGCGGGCCCAGGAACACAACACAGAACCAUUGUCGUGGUUGGGGAACUCCAGAGUCCCACAUCACAGUUCAGCAUGUGCCUCAGGAGCUUCAGCAAGUCUUUCGUGGAAGGAGAGUCUGCCGGUGACGGGGGAAGCAGGCCAUCAGCCCGCCCAGCUUCAUCUCAGGCCGCUUCCAACACCGCCAAGCAAACUCCCUUGGCAAGAUCCAUGCAAGGCCGCGGCUGACCACCGGGAGGCAGCAGCCUACUCUGCAAGGCACUUUCUUUACCCGACCCCCACCCCCUUUUAACAGGUGGCAGGAAACCUGCUGGCCCAGCCAUCUGCCGCACCCACCCUUCACUCCCAGUCCCAUCUCCCCAUAGCACAGAUUUCCCUAUCAUGAGCCCUGACGUGACCUGGGUGUCCUCUUGCCUUCCUCUGCCCAAGGAAUUCCUACAGAGAUUCUUUCUCUAUCCUCCUUUGUACAUUUCCAAGGAAUUGUUUCCCCAGGGCCCCUCCCCUUGAAGAAAUUAGACAGGAAGCUGGAGUAGAUGGUUCCCUCUUUCCCACCUCUCACACUCCCAAGCUCUGGUUAACUCUCUGUGGGCCAGUGGCUAGAUUCCCCAACACAGAUGACAACUGAACAAUACACAUGCAGCGUAAGAAUGUUGUCGCUGCCACCAGCCACUUACAGAUACACCAUUGCUAAGGUCCACCCAACUGGACUGUUUCCCCCUCCCAUAGACUAAGCCCCAAAGGCCAAAAAGUAAAACCCGCUACCCCAAACCUGCCUGUAACUGUUUGACCAGAGGCCAGCUGUCCCAGGAUGCGGUUAAGACGUCUACUUUGCACAAGAGAACUGGCAAGAAAAACAUCUCCAGGAAGCGGUCAGACACAUGGCACAAAGGACCCCCCCCCUUUUCUUUUUCCUUCACCCUGAUCCAGUUCUAUGUCCUAUAAAACCUUGCUCUAGCCUAUAAGUGGGGCUGCCUUCUCUGCUUUUGUCAAGAGGUAGCCAGGCAGGACUGACAAUAAAUCAGCUUGCCUGA